rnacentral:miRNA from 1 species
AUACGCAUGAUCUCUGCAUGUCACAGAUUUAAAUCAGCGCAAAGGUCUAUAGGCAAUCUGUGACAUGCAGAGAUCAUGCGUAU